rnacentral:rRNA from 2 species
CAGCAGCCGCGGUAAAACCAGCACCUCAAGUGGUCAGGAUGAUUAUUGGGCCUAAAGCAUCCGUAGCCGGCUCUGUAAGUUUUCGGUUAAAUCUGUACGCUCAACGUACAGGCUGCCGGGAAUACUGCAGAGCUAGGGAGUGGGAGAGGUAGACGGUACUCGAUAGGAAGGGGUAAAAUCCUUUGAUCUAUUGAUGACCACCUGUGGCGAAGGCGGUCUACCAGAACACGUCCGACGGUGAGGGAUGAAAGCUGGGGGAGCAAACCGGAUUAGAUACCCGGGUAGUCCCAGCUGUAAACUAUGCAAACUCAGUGAUGCAUUGGCUUGUGGCCAAUGCAGUGCUGCAGGGAAGCCGUUAAGUUUGCCGCCUGGGAAGUACGUACGCAAGUAUGAAACUUAAAGGAAUUGGCGGGGGAGCAC